rnacentral:misc_RNA from 1 species
CCAAUAGCGUAUAUUAAAGUUGUUGCAGUUAAAAAGCUCGUAGUUGAAUUUCGGAAUCAAUAUAUCGGUCGUGCCUCUGGUACGCACUUAUUUAUUGAUUUCUCACUUCUGACGAAUCAUAAUGUCAUUAGUUUGGUGUUAUGAGGAAUCAGGACUGUUACUUUGAAAAAAUUAGAGUGUUUAAAGCAGGCUCGCGCUUGAAUACAUUAGCAUGGAAUAAUGAAAUAGGAUGUUUGAUCUUAUUUUGUUGGUUUCUAGGAUCGACAUAAUGAUUAAUAGGGAUAGUUGGGGGCAUUAGUAUUCAAUUGUCAGAGGUGAAAUUCUUGGAUUUAUUGAAGACUAACUACUGCGAAAGCAGUUGCCAAGGAUGUUUUCAUUAAUCAAGAACGAAAGUUAGGGGAUCGAAGACGAUCAGAUACCGUCGUAGUCUUAACCAUAAACUAUGCCGACUAGGGAUCGGAUGAGGUUAUUUUUUAAUGACUCAUUCGGCACCUUACG